rnacentral:rRNA from 1 species
GACGAACGCUGGCGGCGUGGAUUAGGCAUGCAAGUCGAACGGUAUCAUCCUUUCGGGGGUGAGAGAGUGGCGAACUGGUGAGUAACACGUAGGUUAUCUACCCUCAAGACGGGGACAACCCAGGGAAACUUGGGCUAAUACCGGAUGUGAGCAACUUUUAGUUGUUUGAAAGGUGGCGUAAGCUGUCGCUUGGGGAUGAGCCUGCGUCCUAUUAGUUAGUUGGUGAGGUAACGGCUCACCUAGGCAAUGAUAGGUAGGCGGCCUUAACGGGUGGUCGCCCACACUGGGAUUGAGAUACGGCCCAGACUCCUACGGGAGGCAGCAGUCGAGAAUAGUCUACAAUGGUCGGAAGACUGAUAGUGCGACGCCGCGUGAACGAUGAAUCCCUUCGGGGUUAAAGUUCUUUUAUAUGUGAGCAGUGCUUCUUAUAUUAACAGUAUGGGGAAGAGAUAUUAGCAUAUGAAUAAGCAACGGCUAACUCCGUGCCAGCAGCCGCGGUAAUA